CAGAUCCUACGGGGGGCAGCAGUAGGGAAUCUUCCACAAUGGGCGAAAGCCUGAUGGAGCAACGCCGCGUGGGUGAAGAAGGUCUUCGGAUCGUAAAACCCUGUUGUUAGAGAAGAAAGUGCGUGAGAGUAACUGUUCACGUUUCGACGGUAUCUAAACAGAAAGCCACGGCUAACUACGUGCCAGCAGCCGCGGUAAUACGUAGAAGGCAAGCGUUAUCCGGAUUUAUUGGGCGUAAAGGGAACGCAGGCGGUCUUUUAAGUCUGAUGUUA
rnacentral:rRNA from 1 species